CCUACGGGAGGCAGCAGUGAGGAAUAUUGGUCAAUGGACGAGAGUCUGAACCAGCCAAGUAGCGUGAAGGAUGACUGCCCUAUGGGUUGUAAACUUCUUUUAUAUGGGAAUAAAACGUUCCACGUGUGGGAUUUUGUAUGUAUCAUCUGAAUAAGGAUCGGCUAACUCCGCGCCAGCAGCCGCGGUAAUACGGAGGAUCCGAGCGUUAUCCGGAUUUAUUGGGUUUAACGGGAGCGUAGGUGGAUUGUUAAGUCAGUUGUGAAAGUUUGCGGCUCAACCGUAAAAUUGCAGUUGAAACUGGCAGUCUUGAGGACAGUAGAGGUGGGCGGAAUUCGUGGUGUAGCGGUGAAAUGCUUAGAUAUCACGAAGAAUUCCGAUUGCGAAGGCAGUUCACUGGACUGCAACUGACACUGAGGCUCGAAAGUGUGGGUAUCAAACAGGAUUAGAUACCCCAGUAGUC
rnacentral:rRNA from 1 species